UACGGGGGAGCAAGCGUUGUUCGGAUUUACUGGGCGUAAAGGGCGCGUAGGCGGCCACCGCAAGUCGACUGUGAAAUCUCCGGGCUUAACUCGGAAAGGUCAGCCGAUACUGCGGGGCUAGAGUGCAGAAGGGGCAACUGGAAUUCUCGGUGUAGCGGAUGAAAUGCGUAGAUAUCGAGAGGAACACCUGCGGCGAAGGCGGGUUGCUGGGCUGACACUGACGCUGAGGCGCGAAAGCUAGGGGAGCGAACGGG
rnacentral:rRNA from 1 species